CUCCUACGGGAGACAGCAGUGGGGAAUCUUGCACAAUGCGCGAAAGCGUGAUGCAGCAACGCCGCGUGGGAGAAGAAGGCCUUCGGGUUGUAAAUCCCCUUCAGUUGGGACGAAGCUUCGUCGGUUAAUAGCCGGUUGGAGUGACGGUACCUUCAGAAGAAGCCCCGGCUAACCUACGUGCCAGCAGCCGCGGUAAUAC
rnacentral:rRNA from 1 species